UACGGAGGAUGCAGGCGUUAUCCGGAUUUAUUAGGUUUAAAGGGUGCGUAGGCGGAUUUUUAAGUCAGUGGUGAAAUACCUCAGCUUAACUGAGGAACUGCCAUUGAUACUGAAGGUCUUGAAUGCAGUUGAAGUAGGCGGAAUGUGCAGUGUAGCGGUGAAAUGCUUAGAUAUUGCACAGAACACCGAUUGCGAAGGCAGCUUACUAAGCUGUGAUUGACGCUGAGGCACGAAAGCGUGGGGAU
rnacentral:rRNA from 1 species